CUGUGGAAUGUGUUAUUACCGUCUCUCACCCAGACCAUUGUAAUAACCUCCUAAAUAAUCUCCGCUCCUUUCUCUCCCUUUGGAGAGGAAACAAUAUUAUUAUUUUGUAUUAUUAUUCAAAAUCUUUGUAUGUCUUUGUUAGGGUUUCCCUCCUCCCUGUGGGAGAAUUGUGCUCUUGUCUUUUGAUGUCGGACUUGACCCCAUGAUUUCCUCUGGUCAAUGAAAUGUAAUUAGAAGUAACUCAGGGCACUUGUGAGCAGAAGGUUUAAGAGGCAGCACCUGGUUCACUCUGUCUUUUUCCCUUCGCUAUGAGACUGGCAAGGUUCCAGAUAGCAACUGUUCUAGCAGCCAGGGUCCUGGAGAGAAGUCAACAUGAAGCAGAGCCACAGAUACGCCACAGAUAAGCUUAUGUAAUGAAGAGCUUCUCGCUUGUUGCCCAGGCUGGAGUGCAAUGGUGCGAUCUCAGCUUACUAAAUCUUCCGCCUGACAUGUUCAAGCAAUUCUCCUGCCUCAGCCUCCCAAGUAGCUGGAAUUACAGGUGCCCACCACCAUGUCCAGCUAAUUUUUUUUUUUUUUUUUUUUUUGUAUUUUUAGUAGAGACGGGUUUUCACCAUGUUGGCCAGCCCGGUCUUGAACUCCGUCAGCCUCCCAAAGUGCUAGGAUUAACAGGCGUGAGCCGGCACGCCCGGCCUCCCCGCUGAAUCCUUUCUUCAUUUUAUCAUAAUCCUUCUAAAUACACUUUCGGGAACUUUAAAAGAUGCCUACCACCAUUUGUCUCUCAUGAAGAUGUGAACUGCGACUGGAAACAGCUCAGUCUCUCACAGGGAAAGCACAAUGACACAGAAGGAAAUAUAGAAGUCCCCAAAUUAGGAAUCUUGGAUUUUAGACCCAGUGUUCCCUUAACUGCUUAAAGUGUGACCUCAAAUAGGAUCUCGCUGAUGCCCUGGAUACUGCCACAAGGGAUUCGCGUGGGCUGGAGUGCAGUAGCACCAUCACAGCUCACUGCAGCUGCAGGAUCACAGUUCAUUGCCCCUUCAACUUCCUGGCCUCAAGCCAUCCUUCUGCCUUGGCCUCCUGAGUAGCUUGGACUACUGGUGCUAGCCACCAUGCCCAGGAGGAUGAAAUUUAACCACAUCAAAGAAACCUACAGCUCUGAUACUCUCAGAAAAAAUAAGACUCAACACAAAGAGAGUAAAAAGAGUUAUUCUGUCAACGAAGGGUCUUGACCGAAUAAUGUAUACAUCAGAUCUUUUCAUCUUGCACUUCUUGGACACUGUGAUUCAAAAGGGAGAUUAUUUGUGUCAGUAAAGAAGUAUCCAUAAUGAUAAAACACAAGUACUUCAAAGAACAACCUGUGCUUCUCAAAAGGAAAAUAGUUUGGAUCCAUUUACUUUUCUCCUCUACUUCACAUUCUAAAUGACUGAGAAAAUGUCUUCUCGUUUUCAAUACAACCCAUGGGAAAUCAUACUCAAAUAAGUAGUAACUGAAUGAACUAAUCUGGAAAAGUGGUCCUCAAUUUGUUUCUGUAAUAUCAGCUAUCACAAUACUGCCUUGAUAUUUCAUACAAUUCUGCAGAGUAUAAAAAAGCAAAAGCCUCUAAAAGUUGGUACUAGAAUGUACUACACGCUCAAUAUAGACCACAAAAUGGAUCAGACAUGAAGCUUAGUAUUGUCUGUGUGCACAGUGUUUAAAUAUUCCCUUGUUUUAAAAGUGCCAGUGUUUGUUAAGUAACUUAAAAUAUUUGCCACAUGUAGCUUAUUUUUUUUACUUUUUAUUAUAUUUUUGUCAUAGGUAAAAAAGUGAAAAGAUUUAUGACAGUCAUUUUUUUAAAACUAAGUUAAGCUAUAUAAAUUGUUGUGAAAUAAAAUACAUUUUAAUUAUAUACAAUAAAGAUCCUAAUUUUAAUUUGCAAGUAUUUUCAAGAUUACAAGUAACGUUAUCAAUUGUUUUACUUAUAACAAUAUUCCUAGGGUGUCUACAUUUAAUAAUUCUAAGUUUUUAAAACAAUUUUAAACUAUUUCAUUUAACAGACAAUACAAACUAACUAAGAUAAAUUGAGAAAUAUAAAUAUCCCUCACCUGUGUUUUUAAAAUUAGAGACAACUUUUGUAUCAUUCCAGAUAUAAUUUAUACCUAUAUAAAUGUGUUUAUUUUAAAUGUGCCAUUUAAAAGAACUGGUUUAUGCUUUGAAAUGGCUGCAUAAUAUUCUACUCUACCUAGAUACCAUUAAAUAUUGAAUCAGCUCUCUAUUGUGUGUUUUUUGCUGUUGUUACUGACAGAUUUUGUAAUUACAAUGCAGAUUAAAAACUUGUUUUAAAAAAUGUGAUUUUGCUCAUAGACAUAUGUCUUUAGAAUACAUUCGUCAUAGUACAAUUGCUGAGACAAAGAGUUUACGCAUUUGGAAAUUUUAUAAAUAUUAUCACAUUGCUUUCUAUCAAUAUCAUCUCACAAGUAUAAUGACAAGUGAAAGAUACUAGGUAUGAACAUUUAUGUAGUAUUCAAAAGCAGAUAAGUUUAUUACCCUGUCAGAAGAUAGCAAAAUGAUUAACUUUAUGAAGGUUUCAAGCACUUAGUUUGAGGGAAGGCAGGAUAGGCAGUUUCAUGAGAAAGGUAUGUCCCAUCUCUUGAUCAGGGUGAAGUUUAAAUGGAGUUGUUUCCUUGAUGAUGCAUCAAAGUCACCACUUGAAAUUUGAUUACUUUUUAAUAUAUGCUAUACUUCAAAAUGUUUAUUAACAUGCAAAUCAUAUAAUGAAUUCCAUUAAUUUAGUGAGAGAAAUUUUUUUUAUAUGCUUCGAAGUCAUUUGUUUUGUUGUUUGCGUUUACUCAGAACAGUGUGUCAAUCUCCUUGACUGAUAUUUCUAUUGUUUCUAGCAGGUCAUUUAAUAGUUUAUAAUGUUUAUAUUUUCAAAGUUUAUUGGGGUGUAAUUUAUUUAUAAUACUGUACAUAUUUAAAGUUCAAAAUAAGUUAAGCCUUAACAUGUAUAUACAGCCAUGAACACAUAACCAUAAAGUAGGUCCUAAAUAUAUUCACCACUCACAAAUGUUUCCUUGUGAACCUUUGUCAUUCCACCCGCCCUUACUUCUUCCGCAUAAUCUCCAUCUAUAGCAACUACCAAUCUAUUUUCUGUUAUUAUAAAUUAAUGUGCAUUUUCUGGAAUUUUAUAUAAAUGGAAUCAUAUCAUAUGUACUUUGUUUUGUCUUGUUUUUUCAGUAAAAUUAUUUUGAGAUUCAUACAUGUUGUUACAUGUAUCAAUAGUUCAUUACUUUUUAUUGUUGAGUAGUAUUUCAUCAUAUGGAUAUGCCACAAUGUGUUCACACCUUAACAUAAAUUUGUCAAUGUAGUUUCCAGUCAUUGGUUAUUAAAUAUAAAGUUUCUUGAAAACUGAUCUAUAAGUAUUGAUAUGGAAUGUGAUUUCUUUUCUCUUGGGUAAAUUCCUGGAAGAAAAUUGGUUCUAUCAAAUGGUGUUUGCAUGUUUAACAGUUAUAGCCAAACCAUUUUCCAAAGUGGUUGUAAUAUUUUACAUUCCUCACAGCAGUGUAUGAGAAAUCAAAUUGUUCCAAAAGUUUGCUAAGACUUGUACAUUUAGAUGUAUCACCAAUUUUGGGUAAAUUUUUGUACUAAUUGUGAGUUGCAAUUGAGGUUCACUUUUUUAUAUGGAUACUCCUUUUUUUACACAAUACAUGUUGAAAGCAUCACCUUGUAUUAAUUGAACUGCCUUUGCAUCUUAUUAAAAUCAGUUUCAAUAUAUGUGAGGUUCUAUUUCUGAACUCUAUUCUCUGUUACAUUGAUUUAUGUGAACACUUUUUCACUGAAGCCACACUAUUUUGAGAACUGUAGUCUUGAAAUUGAGUAUUGGUAAUCCUCUAAAUGUGUUUGUUUUUAUAAAAAUUGUUUUGGCUAUUUAGAUCACUUUGCCAUUCAAAUAAAAUUUAAAAUCUGCUUGUUGAUAGCUACAGAAAAGUUACUGGCAUUUUAACUAGGAAUACAUUAAACUUAUAGAUAAGAUUGAGGAGAAUUGCCAUUUUAUUCUUCCAAUUAAUGGCUAUAUUACAUG
rnacentral:lncRNA from 1 species